AAAAAAUAUACAGAAAUUAGCCAGGUGUGGUGGUGUGUACCUGUAAUGCUGGCUACUUGGGAGUCUGAGGCAUGACAAUCACUUGAACCCAGGAGGUGGAUGUUGCAGUGAGCCCAGACUGCACCAUGGCACUCCAGCCUGGAUGACAGAACAAGACUCUGUCUCAGAAGAAAGGGACACCAGCUCUAAGCAGCUGAUUUGCUUAUACCAGGUAUCCAGCAAAUAUCUGCCCUACAGACCAGAACAGUAUGAGAGGUCUCAAUUCUGGAAAGAUAUUGCUGGAGUUGGCAUUGGAAGCAGAGAAGGCUAAUUGUCUUCCUGUGUCAAUUCCCAGGAUUUGAUUCUGGCCAGCCAUCCAGCUGGAGUGCACACCCUUGCAUCUGGGAGUGGCCAUGACACUCAUUUCUAGCCAAUGGAAUGUAAGUAGAUUUGAUGAUUGCAACUUCCAGGUCAGGUCCUCAAAAAGGGAAACAACUUACUUACUGCAUCCUACCAUUUUCCUUACUCAUGGGCUUUGAGUCACCUCCACCCUGUAGCAGAUGGCACACCCUGGUGCAGCUGCAGGCCCCAAGACAAAAGGGUGUCCCUGGAUGAAAUGGAACAAAAACACCUACUCACCCAGAACCACCUGCCCACUUUCAGGCUGCUAAGUGAGAAAGAAAUAUGCUUUAUCUUGUUUGAGCUACUGCAUAUUUGGAGUAUUUUUGUGACAGCAACUUAGCCAGUAUUGUAAAGAAACAGCAUUGUAUCUGUCUUAAGAGAACGACACCCUAGUGGCACCAACGCUACUCCUCCAUUCCUCCCCAGGACUACAAGGAGAUAAAGCCCACACUGCAAACCCCAUCAGGCCUGAGAAUUAUACUCAGACCUGAGGCUGGGCAAGGGGAAUAGGCAACUGAGCAAUUGGUAUCAUUUCCCAUUUUAAACAAAUUAAAGAAAAAAACGCAUCUCUCAACCUCACUUUGUCACCUGCCCUUCAGCCGUCACUGGGUUCAUUCCUAACCUUUACAGAUUUGUCCAGGGUGGCUUAUCUUCCUAUCUCACUCUGCAGUCUACUCUCUCACUAGUAUUAUCUCAUGCUUCCUUCUGUCUAGCACUAUUCCAAAAUUCUCAUCCAAAGACCACUUUUUUGGGGUUUUUGUUUGUUUGUUUUUAGAGAGAGACAGGGUCUUGCUUUGUUGCCCAGGCUGGUCUUGAACCCCUGGCUUCAAGUGAUCCUCCUGCCUCAGCCUCUGAAAGUGUUGGGAUUACAGGUGUGAGCCACCACACCUGCUCCAAAAACCAUUUUUUAGUCCUUAUCUUUCUAUACCUCUCAAAAGCUUUUUUUUUUUUAAUUUUUUUUUAUUUUUAGAAACAGGUCUUGCCCUGUCACCCAGGC
rnacentral:lncRNA from 1 species